GACCUGGCUGGGUGGUCCGCUUAACAGCGUGUACUGUCUGGCUGGGCCUUACUUCUUGGUGAGCCGGCAUGCCCUUUGUUGGUGUGUGUCGGGGAACCAGGACCUUUACCUUGAGAAAAUUAGAGUGUUCAAAGCAGGCCUAUGCCUGAAUACAUUAGCAUGGAAUAAUAAAAUAGGACG
rnacentral:rRNA from 1 species